rnacentral:rRNA from 1 species
UACAGAGGUGCCAAGCGUUAGGCGGAAUCACUGGGCUUAAAGCGCGUGUAGGUGGGUCGUUAAGUGUCCGCGUGAAAUCCCACGGCUCAACCGUGGAACUGCCGGGCAUACUGGCGAUCUUGAGGCAUUCAGGGGCGAGCGGAACAAAUGGUGGAGCGGUGAAAUGCGUAGAUAUCAGGAAGAACACCUAUGGCGAAGGCAGCUCUCUGGGACGGUACUGACGCUGAGACGCGAAAGCGUGGGGAGCGAACAGG